GGUUUUAUUUGGGGCUUUUUGGGGGUGAUUUGGGGUUUUUUGGGAGCUUCGUCCUUCGGGCCAUGAUGGAGCUGCUGGGGGGACCCCAAAGAGACCCUUCCAAGGAGGCGGAGCUGAAGCUGAGAUGGGCGGGGCUAAAGAGGAAAGGGGCGGAGUCCAAACCGGAAGUGACGUGGCCGGAAGGGGCGGAGCCUCUGCCGUGGUUCCGCCCCCUCCUGGAGGAGAUCGCCCUUGGAUUGGAGGAGGAGCUGCCCUGUGAGAGCCC